rnacentral:rRNA from 1 species
AUUGAACGCUGGCGGCAUGCCUUACACAUGCAAGUCGAACGGCAGCACGGGUGCUUGCACCUGGUGGCGAGUGGCGAACGGGUGAGUAAUACAUCGGAACGUCCCUUAUCGUGGGGGAUAACGCAGCGAAAGCUGUGCUAAUACCGCAUACGCCCUGAGGGGGAAAGCGGGGGAUCGCCAGACCUCGCGCCAUUAGAGCGGCCGAUGCCUGAUUAGCUUGUUGGUGGGGUAAAAGCCCACCAAGGCGACGAUCAGUAGCUGGUCUGAGAGGACGAUCAGCCACACUGGGACUGAGACACGGCCCAGACUCCUACGGGAGGCAGCAGUGGGGAAUUUUGGACAAUGGGGGCAACCCUGAUCCAGCAAUGCCGCGUGAGUGAAGAAGGCCUUCGGGUUGUAAAGCUCUUUUGUCAGGGAAGAAACACCGGCUCUAACACAGUCUGGGAAUGACGGUACCUGAAGAAUAAGCACCGGCUAACUACGUGCCAGCCGCCGCCGUAA